AGUAGGCGACUGACUGCCCAAGAGACCCAGGGCUCCGCAAGGAGACGGCGCAGGUGUCGGGGCUCCCCGCAGGUGAGGAGGCCGACGUUCCAGGAGGUCCGCCCGGGCGGUCCCUGAGUCCUGCCUCGCGGCUGCUCGCUGGGAUCCGAGGGCGGAACGGGACGCGCAGGAACCCGGCCCGACGGGCGCGGCUCACACCCGUGCUCUUCCUGCGCUCUCGGCCUCACUUUGCGGCCAGAGCCGCGGCCCUGCGCGUGGCCGGCGGCCGCUUCUUUAUCUCCGACCCCACUGCCCAGUACUGUACGCGUCCAGACUAAAGAAACAUCAUUCGCUUAAGGGGCUGGGAAAAGCGCGUGCUCCGCUCGCCCUGGCACCGCGGGUCGCCCAGCUCGCAGACUGGGACGGGCGGUGCAAGAGGUGGUGCUCCCUGUCCAGGAGGGGACGCGGAAGAGGGCAUCUCUGGUCCCGGGAUGCGAUUGUCCCGGUUUCUCCUUCUGGCCCACUCGCCGCGCGCACGAACUCUAGGGGAAGUUGGUUGUAAAGUUUCCGAGAGCGGCGUGGGCUGGUGCGAGUGAAGCGCGGGGCGGGGGAGGCGAGGACAGAAGCUCUCCUCGCGGCGUCUUUGUUCUGCUCUGGAGGAGAGACCUUGGCAAGGAGUCGCCGGGCGGGUGCAGGGACCUACCGCCACCACAUUCCGGACCCAGCGGGAGCCCUCCUCUUAAUGCCCCUCCCCCCGCAAGCCAACCCAGGACAUAGCCCCCAGGUCCCCAAGGCCGGGAAAAAGUGUCCGAACGCCUCGUGGACUGCAGCGGGGGAAAUGUCCCUUAAAAGUGCGACGAAGUGGGGAAGAAGGUGUAAUUACUAUUAUCAGCAUCUAGAAAGCAUCAUGAAUUUGCUGGAGUACUUCCUAGCACUGACCUCCUUCAUUCUGCGUUGUUCUUACUGGAUCUUUCCAUCAGCCAACAAUAUGGAAGUACCAAUACAAGGUCAAAUCAUUCCUGGAUUCAUCUGGAGUUGCUUAAAAGUUAAAUCAUUGGAAUUUUUGAUGAUACCUUUUCUAUAUGGAUUACAAUUUGAUCGCUGGGAAUUCUCCACCUUAAAGAAGACUCUUUUGCUAUCUGGAAACCCAUGUCCACCUCUGACUUCCACUCAAAAUUGCUUUCCUCACAGUCUGACUGCGAGAGUUGUGAAAAAUUGGGAUGUGCUUCUGAGGUGGGCUGUGGAAUGCCAUGAGAGACGGGGUUUCACCGUGUUAGCCAGGAUGGUCUCAAUCUCCUGACCUCGUGAUCCGCCCACCUCGGCCUCCCAAAGUGCUGGGAUUACAGGCGUGAGCCACCAUGCCUGGUCCUAUAUUCCUUUUCAUUCCUGUCGAGUACCCUCAGGUGACUACAGAUGUGUUAACACCCAGCAUGUUCCGGUAGGAGACUUUCUGGAUGGGGAAGAUUUCCAGGUGUGAAUCAUGGCAAUACAGUGAAAGACAGUGAUUUACUGCUUUUGAGGGCGUGCAUGUAUAUGAUUAACGGAUGGAAGUGCAGGACUCCAAGAUUUACUUCCUUCCCUUUCCAGCAGAAUUACCUGAGACGAGUGAGUAAUGGGAUAAUUUGUAAUACCACAGGCCCCUUUUCAAGGGACCAGUAAUCAAAACAGGAAGAUGAAACUGAGAAGAUUUCAACUGGAAGAAUACAACUUUUGAUAAUUUCUGGAUAUACCUCUUAAUUGCAAGCAGGAGAGUCUUCAGAGUUUUCCUGUGGUGGUGGUUGUUGUUGUUGUUGUUGUUGUUGUUUGAGAUGGAAUUUUGCUCUUAUUACCUGGGCUGGA
rnacentral:lncRNA from 1 species